rnacentral:rRNA from 1 species
UGAAUACGAGACGCUACGGCGUCGAAGCAGUCUAUGUCAUACUUCCAAGAAAAGCUUGCACUGUCAUAAACAAAUAAUGCCUGUACCAUAACCGACACAGGUGGGUAGGUAGAGUAUACUAAGGGGCGCGAGAUAACUCUCUCUAAGGAACUCGGCAAAAUGACUCCGUAACUUCGGGAGAAGGAGUGCCUUAUUUAUAAGGUUGCAAUAACAAGAUCCAAGCAACUGUUUAUCAAAAACACAGGUCUCCGCUAAGUCGUAAGACGGUGUAUGGGGGCUGACGCCUGCCCAGUGCCAGAAGGUUAAAGAAGUUGGUUAGCAUUAGCGAAGCUGAUAACUGAAGCCCUGGUGAACGGCGGCCGUAACUAUAACGGUCCUAAGGUAGCGAAAUUCCUUGUCGGGUAAGUUCCGACCCGCACGAAAGGCGUAAUGAUUUGGAUACUGUCUCAGAGAGGGGCUCGGUGAAAUAGACUUGUCUGUGAAGAUGCGGACUACCUGCACCAGGACAGAAAGACCCUAUGAAGCUUUACUGUAACUUGAAAUUGAAAUUGGACUUUAUUUGCGCAGUAUAGGUGGGAGGCAUUGAUAAUAUUCUUGCGGGAAUGUUGGAGCCAUCAGUGAGAUACCACUCUUGUAAUGUUAGAUUUCUAACUUUGGAUCAUUAUCUGGUCAAAGGACAGUUUCAGGCGGGCAGUUUGACUGGGGCGGUCGCCUCCUAAAUGGUAACGGAGGCGCACAAAGGUUUCCUCUGAACGGGUAGAAAUCGUAUCUAGAGUGUAAAGGCAUAAGGAAGCUUGACUGUGAGACCUACAAGUCGAGCAGGGACGAAAGUCGGUCUUAGUGAUCUGACGGUGCUGAGUGGAAAGGCCGUCACUCAACGGAUAAAAGUUACUCUAGGAUAACAGGCUGAUCUCCCCCAAGAGUUCACAUCGACGGGGAGGUUUGGCACCUCGAUGUCGGCUCAUCGCAUCCUGGGGCGGUAGUACGUCCCAAGGGUUGGGCUGUUCGCCCAUGAAAGCGGUACGCGAGCUGGGUUCAGAACGUCGUGAGACAGUUCGGUCCAUAUCCGGUGUAGGCGUUAGAAUAUUGAGAGGAGCCUUCUUUAGUACGAGAGGACCGAGAAGGACAUACCUCUGGUGUACCAGUUAUCGUGCCAACGGUAAACGCUGGGUAGCUAUGUAUGGAGAGGAUAACCGCUGAAAGCAUCUAAGUGGGAAGCCCACCUCAAGAUAAGUAUUCUC